GGACGCCGUGGCGCUGCUGGAGGAGCUCUGGGGACCAGCAACGAGGGCACCCCAGGAUGUGACGGAAGGCUCUGGGGUGGCUGUCGUGAAGGAAGAUGGUGUGAUGGUGCCUUUGGGAGAUGCGGCCCCCGGAGCUGAGGUGCUGGCGACGGGGGACGCCCAGGCCACGCACCCCUACAAGCAGGAGCCCGGCAGCCCUCCCCCGGCCCCGGCGGCCCCGCCUGCGCCCGGCCUGCCCGCCCU